UACGUAGGGGGCAAGCGUUGUCCGGAAUCAUUGGGCGUAAAGAGCGUGUAGGCGGCUCGAUAAGUCUGCUGUGAAAGUCCAGGGCUCAACCCUGGAAGGCCGGUGGAAACUGUCGGGCUAGAGUCCGGAAGAGGCGAGUGGAAUUCCCGGUGUAGCGGUGAAAUGCGCAGAUAUCGGGAGGAACACCAAUGGCGAAGGCAGCUCGCUGGGACGGUACUGACGCUGAGGAGCGAAAGCGUGGGGAGCAAACAGG
rnacentral:rRNA from 1 species